rnacentral:rRNA from 1 species
UACGUAGGGUGCGAGCGUUAAUCGGAAUUACUGGGCGUAAAGCGUGCGCAGGCGGUUUUGUAAGCCAGAUGUGAAAUCCCCGAGCUUAACUUGGGAACUGCAUUUGGGACUGCAAGGCUAGAGUACGGCAGAGGGGGGUAGAAUUCCUGGUGUGGCAGUGAAAUGCGUAGAUAUCAGGAGGAACACCGAUGGCGAAGGCAAUCCCCUGGGCCUGCACUGACGCUCAUGCACGAAAGCGUGGGGAGCGAACAGG